UACAGAGACUGCAAGCGUUAUUCGGAUUCACUGGGCGUAAAGGGUGCGCAGGCGGUCGGGUGUGUCAGAUGUGAAAUCCCGAGGCUCAACCUCGGAACUGCGUCUGAAACUACUCGACUAGAGUACUGGAGAGGGUAACGGAAUUCACGGUGUAGCAGUGAAAUGCGUAGAUAUUCGGAAGAACACCAGUGGCGAAGGCGACUCACUGGACACAUAUUGACGCUGAGGUGCGAAAGCGUGGGGAGCAAACAGG
rnacentral:rRNA from 1 species